GGGUUGUGAGGUUAAGCGACUAAGCGUACACGGUGGAUGCCCUGGCAGUCAGAGGCGAUGAAGGGCGUGCUAAUCUGCGAUAAGCGCCGGUAAGGUGAUAUGAACCGUUAUAACCGGCGAUACCCGAAUGGGGAAACCCAGUGUGAUUCGUCACACUAUCAUUAACUGAAUCCAUAGGUUAAUGAGGCGAACCGGGGGAACUGAAACAUCUAAGUACCCCGAGGAAAAGAAAUCAACCGAGAUUCCCCCAGUAGCGGCGAGCGAACGGGGAGGAGCCCAGAGCCUGAAUCAGCAUGUGUGUUAGUGGAAGCGUCUGGAAAGGCGCGCGAUACAGGGUGACAGCCCCGUACACAAAAGCGCACAUGCUGUGAGCUCGAUGAGUAGGGCGGGACACGUGGUAUCCUGUCUGAAUAUGGGGGGACCAUCCUCCAAGGCUAAAUACUCCUGACUGACCGAUAGUGAACCAGUACCGUGAGGGAAAGGCGAAAAGAACCCCGGCGAGGGGAGUGAAAAAGAACCUGAAACCGUGUACGUACAAGCAGUGGGAGCACCCUUUGGGGUGUGACUGCGUACCUUUUGUAUAAUGGGUCAGCGACUUAUAUUCUGUAGCAAGGUUAACCGAAUAGGGGAGCCGGAGGGAAACCGAGUCUUAAUUGGGCGUUAAGUUGCAGGGUAUAGACCCGAAACCCGGUGAUCUAGCCAUGGGCAGGUUGAAGGUUGGGUAACACUAACUGGAGGACCGAACCGACUAAUGUUGAAAAAUUAGCGGAUGACCUGUGGCUGGGGGUGAAAGGCCAAUCAAACCGGGAGAUAGCUGGUUCUCCCCGAAAGCUAUUUAGGUAGCGCCUCGUGAAUUCAUCUCCGGGGGUAGAGCACUGUUUCGGCUAGGGGGCCAUCCCGGCUUACCAACCCGAUGCAAACUGCGAAUACCGGAGAAUGUUAUCACGGGAGACACACGGCGGGUGCUAACGUCCGUCGUGAAGAGGGAAACAACCCAGACCGCCAGCUAAGGUCCCAAAGUCAUGGUUAAGUGGGAAACGAUGUGGGAAGGCCCAGACAGCCAGGAUGUUGGCUUAGAAGCAGCCAUCAUUUAAAGAAAGCGUAAUAGCUCACUGGUCGAGUCGGCCUGCGCGGAAGAUGUAACGGGGCUAAACCAUGCACCGAAGCUGCGGCAGCGACACUCAGGUGUUGUUGGGUAGGGGAGCGUUCUGUAAGCCUGUGAAGGUGGCCUGUGAGGGUUGCUGGAGGUAUCAGAAGUGCGAAUGCUGACAUAAGUAACGAUAAAGCGGGUGAAAAGCCCGCUCGCCGGAAGACCAAGGGUUCCUGUCCAACGUUAAUCGGGGCAGGGUGAGUCGACCCCUAAGGCGAGGCCGAAAGGCGUAGUCGAUGGGAAACGGGUUAAUAUUCCCGUACUUGGUGUUACUGCGAAGGGGGGACGGAGAAGGCUAUGUUGGCCGGGCGACGGUUGUCCCGGUUUAAGCGUGUAGGCUGGUUUUCCAGGCAAAUCCGGAAAAUCAAGGCUGAGGCGUGACGACGAGGCACUACGGUGCUGAAGCAACAAAUGCCCUGCUUCCAGGAAAAGCCUCUAAGCAUCAGGUAACACGAAAUCGUACCCCAAACCGACACAGGUGGUCAGGUAGAGAAUACCAAGGCGCUUGAGAGAACUCGGGUGAAGGAACUAGGCAAAAUGGUGCCGUAACUUCGGGAGAAGGCACGCUGACAUGUAGGUGAAGUGAUUUACUCAUGGAGCUGAAGUCAGUCGAAGAUACCAGCUGGCUGCAACUGUUUAUUAAAAACACAGCACUGUGCAAACACGAAAGUGGACGUAUACGGUGUGACGCCUGCCCGGUGCCGGAAGGUUAAUUGAUGGGGUCAGCGCAAGCGAAGCUCCUGAUCGAAGCCCCGGUAAACGGCGGCCGUAACUAUAACGGUCCUAAGGUAGCGAAAUUCCUUGUCGGGUAAGUUCCGACCUGCACGAAUGGCGUAAUGAUGGCCAGGCUGUCUCCACCCGAGACUCAGUGAAAUUGAACUCGCUGUGAAGAUGCAGUGUACCCGCGGCAAGACGGAAAGACCCCGUGAACCUUUACUAUAGCUUGACACUGAACAUUGAGCCUUGAUGUGUAGGAUAGGUGGGAGGCUUUGAAGUGUGGACGCCAGUCUGCAUGGAGCCGACCUUGAAAUACCACCCUUUAAUGUUUGAUGUUCUAACGUGGACCCGUGAUCCGGGUUGCGGACAGUGUCUGGUGGGUAGUUUGACUGGGGCGGUCUCCUCCUAAAGAGUAACGGAGGAGCACGAAGGUUGGCUAAUCCUGGUCGGACAUCAGGAGGUUAGUGCAAUGGCAUAAGCCAGCUUGACUGCGAGCGUGACGGCGCGAGCAGGUGCGAAAGCAGGUCAUAGUGAUCCGGUGGUUCUGAAUGGAAGGGCCAUCGCUCAACGGAUAAAAGGUACUCCGGGGAUAACAGGCUGAUACCGCCCAAGAGUUCAUAUCGACGGCGGUGUUUGGCACCUCGAUGUCGGCUCAUCACAUCCUGGGGCUGAAGUAGGUCCCAAGGGUAUGGCUGUUCGCCAUUUAAAGUGGUACGCGAGCUGGGUUUAGAACGUCGUGAGACAGUUCGGUCCCUAUCUGCCGUGGGCGCUGGAGAACUGAGGGGGGCUGCUCCUAGUACGAGAGGACCGGAGUGGACGCAUCACUGGUGUUCGGGUUGUCAUGCCAAUGGCACUGCCCGGUAGCUAAAUGCGGAAGAGAUAAGUGCUGAAAGCAUCUAAGCACGAAACUUGCCCCGAGAUGAGUUCUCCCUGAGACUUUAGGUCUCCUGAAGGAACGUUGAAGACGACGACGUUGAUAGGCCGGGUGUGUAAGCGCAGCGAUGCGUUGAGCUAACCGGUACUAAUGAACCGUGAGGCUUAACCUUACAACGCCGAAG
rnacentral:rRNA from 6 species